rnacentral:misc_RNA from 1 species
GAUGAAGAACGUAGCGAAAUGCGAUACGUAAUGUGAAUUGCAGAAUUCAGUGAAUCAUCGAAUCUUUGAACGCACAUUGCGCUCUCUGGUAUUCCGGAGAGCAUGCUUGUUUGAGUAUCAGUAAACACCUCAACUUCCAUAUCUUUUUUGAAAUGGGAGUUGGACUUGAGUGAUCCCAACGCUUUUCCUCACCGAAAAGUGGCGGGUUACUUGAAAUGCAGGUGCAGCUGGACUUUUCUCUGAGCUAUAAGCAUAUCUAUUUAGUCUGCCUAAAAAACAGAUUAUUACCUUUGCUGCAGCUAACAUAAAGGAGAUUAGUUCUUGUGCUGACUGAUGCAGGAUUCACAAAGACAGGCUUCGGCCGACUUUGUAAACUCGAUCUCAAAUCAAGUAAGACUACCCGCUGAACUUAAGCAUACAAUAAGCGGAGGA